rnacentral:rRNA from 1 species
UACGAGGGGGGCAAGCGUUGUUCGGAAUUAUUGGGCGUAAAGGGCGCGUAGGCGGUUUGACAAGUCUGAUGUGAAAUCUCUGGGCUCAACCCAGAGUCUGCAUUAGAAACUGGCGGGCUUGAGUGUGUGAGAGGUGAGUGGAAUUUCCGGUGUAGCGGUGAAAUGCGUAGAUAUCGGAAGGAACACCUGUGGCGAAAGCGGCUCACUGGACCAUAACUGACGCUGAGGCGCGAAAGCUAGGGGAGCAAACAGG